GACAGAGGCCUCGAGCGUUAGGCGGAAUCACUGGGCUUAAAGCGUGUGUAGGCGGAGGCGUAAGGACCUUGUGAAAUCCCACGGCUCAACCGUGGAACUGCUGGGUAUACUGCGUCUCUUGAGUCACUCAGGGGCGAGCGGAACAGAUGGUGGGGCGGUGAAAUGCGUAGAUAUCAUCUGGAACGCCAAUGGUGAAGACAGCUCGCUGGGGGUGUACUGACGCUGAGACACGAAAGCCAGGGGAGCGAACGGG
rnacentral:rRNA from 1 species